CUGAUGCAUAAUCCAACUAAUCAAGAAAAUGAUUUCUUCCAUUUUCAUGGUAAAUAUGGUUCAGUAUCAAGCACUGCAGGACACUGAGUCCUCUAACUUGUUUCGUCUUUCUGGAGAUGAUAACAUUGAUGAUGACAAUGCUUCUGAUACUGUGUAAAACUGAUUAACAUUGUUUUAUUCUUUUACUUAGACGUGAUGCUUGUUUAUUGUUAAGAUGAGGUUCUUAAUAACAUCUAAGCAAUGGAGAAGUAUAAUACAUAAGUUUGAAUCCUUAAAAAGUAAACUUUGUUUUGAUGAUUAAUUCCUAGAACAGGUUUGAGUCUUAAAAGUAAAAUUCAUUUUGUGUGAUUAUUUUGUAAUCAAAAGGGAGCAAUUGUUGUGGGAAUUUUAUUUUUAACAUUAUAGUUUGAUAUCUUAUGAGAUUAUCUUAUAUACUUUACAGGAGUUUCCUAAUAAUCUUUAAUUUUGUUAUAGACUUAGAGACUCCAAGAGAAGAAGCAACUGGCAUCAUAAACUCUGGCCUAGUUGAGAAUAUCCUUCUCUUUUUGGAACUCAGCGUUCCUACUGUUUACCUUUAGCAGAUAAGGAGGAAAAGGGCCAUAACAUUUUGAACUGUAUCUCCUUCUGUCUCUUGCUUUAACAGGUGUUUAGGCUAAGUAGAGAGCAGGAUGAGAGGGGAAAGGUAGUAAAGUCAUUGUGACUGUUUGUGGUGUUUUUUCAUCUGCGUAGCUGCUAAAAUUAUCCUGGAGGGGGGGGGGGGUUUAAGUGAGUUCUUACUAUAUAGACGUAUGUUUUUGUCUAGAUGGUCAGAAGACCCUUUCAGAUGUGCCAUGUGUACUUGUGAAACUGUUUUCUCUGCAUUUGCAAAUGUAAAUAAAUACUCA